GUCAUAAAAUACUCAAUACAGUGGAUUGCACCAGACCCAAUGGAGGAAGGCUGCCUAUGAAGGUUGAUUUAAUGAUGAGUGAUUUUGCUGAGGAGCAUCAGGCUUUCCGAUGACUUUCAGUGGUGGAAAGUUUACUGAGGAAUGGAAAGCCCAGUUCAUUAAAACAGAAAGGAAGAAACUCCUGAACUACAAGGCUCGGCUGGUGAAGGACCUACAACCCCGAAUUUAUUGCCCCUUUGCUGGGUAUUUUGUGGAAUCCCACCCAUCAGACAAGUACAUUAAGGAAACAAACAUCAAAAAUGACCCAGAUGAACUCAACAAUCUUAUCAAGAAAAAUUCUGAUGUGUUAACAUGGACACCGCGACCUGGAGCCACUCUUGAUCUGGGUAGGAUGCUAAAGGAUCCAACAGACAGCAAAGGCAUCAUUGACCCUCCGGAGGGGACUAAAAUUUACAAGGAUUCCUGGGACUUUGGACCAUAUUUGAAAAUCUUGAAUGCUGCUGUAGGAGAUGAAAUAUUUCAUCAUCCAUCCUGGAUAAAAGAAUACUUCACUUGGGCUGGAUUUAAGGAUUAUAACCUGGUGGUCAGGAUGAUUGAGACAGAUGAGGACUUCAGCCCUUUUCCUGGAGGAUAUGACUAUUUGGUUGACUUUCUAGAUUUAUCCUUUCCAAAAGAAAGACCAAGCCGGGAACAUCCAUAUGAGGAAAUUCGGAGCCGGGUUGACGUCAUCAGACACGUGGUGAAGAAUGGCCUGCUCUGGGAUGACCUGUAUAUAGGAUUCCAAACCCGGCUCCAGCGGGAUCCUGACAUAUACCAUCAUCUGUUUUGGAACCAUUUUCAAAUAAAACUCCCCCUAACACCACCCAACUGGAAGUCCUUCCUAAUAUACUGUGGGGAGAGAGGACCUGAGAUCUCCCAGGGAUACUAAGCUGCAUGAAAAAUUCAAGUAUUCACUGAUGCUGUAUCUUGAACAUGAAGCUUAUACCAAAGAGACUAUGUAUGCCUUACUGACAUCAGCAAUGGAUAAUCAAAUGUUGUGUUUGUGAAAUGUUCACAUAUCUUAUGUUUGUGGAUCACUACAUAGCCAGAGUAUUGAUAUUUUAAUUAUUCUGUCCAUAAUUUUCUGUAAAAGAACCCAUGAAUGCCAUAGGAACAAAUUCUCUAUGGAAAACAAAGACAACAGGGGAUGUAAAUCCAAGUACAGAAGAAGUAGAACAGGAGGAGAAAAGGUUUCCUAGAAGACAAGGAGAAGACAAGGGUUGGGGAGCAGAUGCUGGGUUAGAAGAAGAGAAGAAAGGAGAGAAACAGAUAAAUGAGGGGCUGUAAGAAGAAAAUAAGGAAGAGAAAAAGUUAAAAUGGAACUUAAAAAGAAGGUAAACAUAGACAUUUUGUUCCUUAAUAGAUUGACUCCCCAGAUAGAGUCCAUGAAUAUAACUGAGUAAGAAGCAUUCAUGAGCUGUUUGCAGUUUUUGAAAAAGUUUCGUUGAAGUCAUAUAUUUACCAAAACAAGGCUGCAGAGGCUACCCAAGAUGUAAAAUUUCAUUGGGACUGAAAUAAUUUUGGUUCAGUGAUAAAAAUUUAUUACUUAAUGUAUAUUAUAAAUUCUAACAAAUAAUGGUAUCUUUGAAUAAAAUAUAUGAACACUAGCUAAUGAUCAAGUGAGUCCUAUAGACAAAAAUCUUUCAAUCUCAAUAGAAUAAUCAACAGUCGAGCCUAUAUCUUGAAGAAAUUAAGAAGUCCUCUUCUGAAUACUUGAAAACACUGUUGCAGUGGUUAAAACCCACAACUAAUGUAUCUGUUUCUGUUAAUGUCUGUAGUUUUUGAUGAUUUUCCUGUGAUUAGCACACUAUCUCUAGGAAUAUGUGAUUGUUGACUAUGUUUCUAUUUUAAUAUUGAUGUUUCCAGUACACACAAACCUCUCAUUGAUCUGAACAUCAGAACUGAUUUCCUAAUUAUGUAUACUACCUCUUUAACUCUGAAGAUUAAGAUUUAAGAUUCUCCUUAAAUCUCAUGAUUAUCUACUUCUUACAAAGAUAAUAAUAUGAUAUUUGAUGUCUCUGAUUCACUUCAUACAUUCUACCUAAGUUUUGUGAUUUAUGCUCUAUAGUAAAUUAUUCAAUUAUUACUGAAAAAUAAAUGUAAUGUAUGUCAGUAUAUGAAUAUAUGAUAAAAUGUGUAUGAGGAGCAAAUAAAAGAUUAUUUUAAAAUAUGGAUGUUUUCUUACCACCAAGCCUAUCUUUAUUUUCAUGCUGUCUUCCUAGCUAUCAUCUUCUGAUACCCUGACUCCAGCAAUUCUUUGAUAUUACAAGACCUUUAGUCCAUUGACCCUGCAUGUCCUCACUUUUCUUCUUAGUCAUCUUCGAUUCUUUUCCACUUGUGUCCACAUCACCCUCUUUUGUCAUUUUUCUACCUUACCUGCCCUCUUUCCCUUUCUCAUAUCUCAGAUCUCAUUUCCAUGACUUCCAAACUAUGAGAUCAUUCUUUAUACUUUGCCCUAACAUCCACUGUAUCAACAGAUCCCAUCACCUUUACUUUCAAAAUAUACCCAGAGUAUAACCUCUUUCCACCAUCUCCACUGCUAUCAACAUCAGGAUAAAACAGAAACCCACAGAGGUAAUCUUGGCAUUAGGGGCUGGUUUUCUUUAUGCCAUGGAGAGGGCAGGAGGAGAAGGGGACGACAGAGGAUGAGAUGGUUGGAUGGCAUCACCGACUCAAUGGACAUGGGUUUGGGUGGACUCUGGGAGUUGGUGAUGGACAGGGAGGCCUGGCAUGCUGUGGUUCAUGGGGUCGCAAAGAGUCGGACACGACUGAGUGACUGAACUGAACUGAACUGAACUGAACUGACUGGAUAGGCAUCUGUUCCUGCCAAGAAAGGCGAACAAGCCGAAUGCCUUGAAACAAGCUCAGAGCCAUUCAAGGAGAUGCUGGGAAAGCCAUCUUUAGGGAGGUGACUUGCAGACUGCACAAUCCUAAAGCUACUUUAGAGGGUACCAGGGUAACAGCUAGCAGCUGGGAACUGUUGCUCAUCUCAUAUUUCAGGAGCCCAAGUCUGAAGAAACAAAAGAACAGAAACCACUUCCUUCUCUAGUGCUCCUCUAGUGCCCUCUACAGACAAAGCUUAACUUCAUACUAGCUGUCGUUUUUUGUUCUUGUUUUUGUUUUUGAUUUUAUUUUUUUACUUUACAAUACUGUAUUGGUUUUGCCAUACAUUGACAUGAAUCCACCACAAGUGUACAUGAGUUCCCAACCCCGAACCCCCCUCCCACCACCCUCCCCUUAUCAUCUCUCUGGGUCAUCCCAGUGCACCAGCCCCAAGCAUCCUGUAUCGAACAUAGACUAGCGAUUUGCUUCUUACAUGAUAGUAUACAUGUUUCAAUGCCCUUCUCCCAAAUCAUCCCACCCUCUCCCUCUCCCACAGAGUCCAAAAGACUGUUCUAUACAUCUGUGUCUCUUUUGCUGUCUCGCAUAUAGGGUUAUCAUUACCAUCUUUCUAAAUU
ensembl:lincRNA